rnacentral:lncRNA from 1 species
AGGAAGGAAUCAACAGCAUUAGCUCUCAAGCCUGGCAGGGCGAGAGCUCUUAGGCGGCAACUGCGAAUGUUAUGAGAAACAAGCCUUAAAUUUAUCAUCAUUGCCAUACUAUUAAGGAUUUGUAAGAAAAUAAAAACAAAAACCAAAAAAGUUGUUACUUCAAAUAAAUCAAAUGUAAUCACAGAAACCGGCUCUGUAGACCGAUGGAGAUGCAGUCCCAGGUUCCUAUAAACAUGUGAAACGUCCGAAACCAACUCGGUUUUGGCCUAAUCAAAGCAUCACCGGUCAAAGCCAUAGCUACAGGUGACGUGGCAUCAGGCCUAAACAAUCACAAAAAUAGCAGAUGCAAAUUUUAGAUUAUAUGAGACAAAGCUACGCACAAUCCCUCAGAGACCCGUUUAAAAUCACACACACACCCGAAUUAAACCAAUUGCAAAUGGGUACUCCAUCCAAGACCAAACCACAAAGGUUAUGGUCGAAGGAUGGACACUUGCAAAGGAGAAAAGCAGCUGCUGUUUAAAGUGUCAUACGGCACUUCCUAUGGUCUUAGAUUCCUCACCGGGACAAGGUUGCAACUCAUAAUACAUGAACAGAAUUUAGAUCUAUAUAAACUACAAUAUUAUUGGAUUAAGCCUCAGGAAGACAGACAAAUGUCGUCAUUUGAUAAUCCGACGGUAAUUCCAACAAUAUGCUAAUCAUCACAGGCUCAAAAUCAUAGAUGUAGGAAGCAGAAACAAUUAUAAAACACGCAAGAUUGGAUGAAAGAAUAUAAAUUGGAUAUUUAAAGCAUCAUCAGAAAGAAAAGCCUUCUCAUUCACAGUGUGAUUGCACUGUGUCAGAAGGUGUCCUAAGAUUGUUAUAAGGUUUCAUCCUCUGAUACUGUAAAAAUUCCACAUAAACUAUAAACAAUAAAGGAUAUGUUGUGACUGGAUUCAGAUGCAGAGAUGUGUAACGUCAUAUGGACGACAAAAGCCGUCCUCUGAUCAAGUGUAGGAUUAUGCAUCAAUUACCUACUCACAAUCCAAACAGAUCUAAGAAAACAAUAAAAAAAACAUAGAAAUAAUAAGAACAAAUUGGAGGUGGAUUUCAUGUUACUCAGUGGUGGCUUUAAUAAUUGGUUCGAUUCUGCCAGCGAGCGUCCUCAAUGCCUUCAGAAGAGGGAGCAUAAUAUCCUCAUCGCAACAGCCUCCUCCAAUGCAAAGAACACAGAUCUAAACCGAAAUGGAACAAAAAAUAUACAAAUUUUAACACAAAAUAUCAAACCAUAAAUAAUAAAAAGAGCAAUACAAGAUGGCUCGGUUCAGCGGGAAAAUCGGCAUACAAAUCAAUCCCAGAGGAGUAGAUCCAGAGAGGAAGACCUGUGAUUUGGUCUGUUGAGCUUGAAUAUUACCAAGUCGUCACUGCCAUCACAUCGCUUGCAUAAUAGAACAGCGUGACAAAAAAAAGAUCAAAACGAAACAAAAGAAAUUGCAGGAUGUAGAAAAAAUUCAAGUCCUCACUGCCAUUGCAUCGCAUGCAUUAUAGAACAAAACAGCCGUGAAAAAAACAUCAAAAUGAAACAACAAAUCACAGGAUGUAGCAAAAAGUGCAGAAGAAUAAGCAGAUUUGGCUGUGCUAGGAAAAGCGUCUACGGGGGAGGAAAGAGGAGGAGAUUUGCUGCAAGAGGAGGAGAUUUGCUGCAGCAGUAGCACUAACCCUCAAGCCUGGCAGGGCGAAAGCUCUUAGGCGGCAACUGCGAAUGUCAUGAGAAACAAGCCUUGAUUUUAGCAUCACAAGGCAUCCAUCACAGCCGACAUACUUUUCAGUAAACAUGAACGACUAAACUGGCAAUCAAAUUAAUUGAAGAUAAUGAAUUAAAAAUGGGCAAAACAAAUUAUUUAAAGAGGAUAGAGUUGGUGUUGCUGUGCAUCAGACAUCCAAGGAAGGAAUUAGCAGCACUAGCUCUCAAGCCUGGCAGGGCGAAAGCUCUUAGGCGGCAACUGCGAAUUUCAUGAGAAACAAGCCUUGAUUAUAGCAUCAUUUGCAAUGCAGAACACUAACUUACACAGAGCAAAAGAACACAAAUAUGAAUAUAUAAAUAACAUGGCUCAGACAUCCAAGGAAGGAAUUAACAGCAUUAGCUCUCAAGCCUGGCAGGGCGAGAGCUCUUAGGCGGCAACUGCGAAUGUUAUGAGAAACAAGCCUUAAAUUUAUCAUCAUUGCCAUACUAUUAAGGAUUUGUAAGAAAAUAAAAACAAAAACCAAAAAAGUUGUUACUUCAAAUAAAUCAAAUGUAAUCACAGAAACCGGCUCUGUAGACCGAUGGAGAUGCAGUCCCAGGUUCCUAUAAACAUGUGAAACGUCCGAAACCAACUCGGUUUUGGCCUAAUCAAAGCAUCACCGGUCAAAGCCAUAGCUACAGGUGACGUGGCAUCAGGCCUAAACAAUCACAAAAAUAGCAGAUGCAAAUUUUAGAUUAUAUGAGACAAAGCUACGCACAAUCCCUCAGAGACCCGUUUAAAAUCACACACACCCGAAUUAAACCAAUUGCAAAUGGGUACUCCAUCCAAGACCAAACCACAAAGGUUAUGGUCGAAGGAUGGACACUUGCAAAGGAGAAAAGCAGCUGCUGUUUAAAGUGUCAUACGGCACUUCCUAUGGUCUUAGAUUCCUCACCGGGACAAGGUUGCAACUCAUAAUACAUGAACAGAAUUUAGAUCUAUAUAAACUACAAUAUUAUUGGAUUAAGCCUCAGGAAGCCAGACAAAUGUCGUCAUUUGAUAAUCCGACGGUAAUUCCAACAAUAUGCUAAUCAUCACAGGCUCAAAAUCAUAGAUGUAGGAAGCAGAAACAAUUAUAAAACACGCAAGAUUGGAUGAAAGAAUAUAAAUUGGAUAUUUAAAGCAUCAUCAGAAAGAAAAGCCUUCUCAUUCACAGUGUGAUUGCACUGUGUCAGAAGGUGUCCUAAGAUUGUUAUAAGGUUUCAUCCUCAGAUACUUUAAAAAUUCCACAUAAACUAUAAACGAUAAAGGAUAUGUUCUGUGACUGGAUUCAGAUGCAGAGAUGUGUAACGUCAUAUGGACGACAAAAGCCGUCCUCUGAUCAAGUGUUGGAUUAUGCAUCAAUUACCUACUCACAAUCCAAACAGAUCUAAGAAAACAAUAAAAAAAACAUAGAAAUAAUAAGAACAAAUUGGAAGAGGAUUUCAUGUUACUCAGUGGUGGCUUUAAUAAUUGGUUCGAUUCUGCCAGCGAGCGUCCUCAAUGCCUUCAGAAGAGGGAGCAUAAUAUCCUCAUCGCAACAGCGUCCUCCAAUGCAAAGAACACAGAUCUAAACCGAAAUGGAAUAAAAAAUAUACAAAUUUUAACACAAAAUAUCAAACCAUAAAUAAUAAAAAGAGCAAUACAUGAUGGCUCGGUUCAGCGGGAAAAUCGGCAUACAAAUCAAUCCCAGAGGAGUGGAUCCAGAGAGGAAGACCUGUGAUUUGGUCUGUUGAGCUUGAAUAUUACCAAGUCGUCACUGCCAUCGCAUCGCUUGCAUAAUAGAACAGCGUGACAAAAAAAAGAUCAAAACGAAACAAAAGAAAUUGCAGGAUGUAGAAAAAAUUCAAGUCCUCACUGCCAUUGCAUCGCAUGCAUAAUAGAACAAAACAGCCGUGAAAAAAACAUCAAAAUGAAACAACAAAUCACAGGAUGUAGCAAAAAGUGCAGAAGAAUAAGCAGAUCUGGCUGUGCUAGGAAAAGCGUCUACGGGGGAGGAAAGAGGAGGAGAUUUGCUGCAAGAGGAGGAGAUUUGCUGCAGCAGUAGCACUAACCCUCAAGCCUGGCAGGGCGAAAGCUCUUAGGCGGCAACUGCGAAUGUCAUGAGAAACAAGCCUUGAUUUUAGCAUCACAAGGCAUCCAUCACAGCCGACAUACUUUUCAGUAAACAUGAAUGACUAAACUGGCAAUCAAAUUAAUUGAAGAUAAUGAAUUAAAAAUGGGCAAAACAAAUUUUUUAAAGAGGAUAGAGUUGGUGUUGCUGUGCAUCAGACAUCCAAGGAAGGUAUUAGCAGCACUAGCUCUCAAGCCUGGCAGGGCGAAAGCUCUUAGGCGGCAACUGCGAAUUUCAUGAGAAACAAGCCUUGAUUAUAGCAUCAUUUGCAAUGCAGAACACUAACUUACACAGAGCAAAAGAACACAAAUAUGAAUAUAUAAAGAACAUGGCUCAGACAUCCAAGGAAUGAAUUAACAGCAUUAGCUCUCAAGCCUGGCAGGGCGAGAGCUCUUAGGCGGCAACUGCGAAUGUUAUGAGAAACAAGCCUUAAAUUUAUCAUCAUUGCCAUACUAUUAAGGAUUUGUAAGAAAAUAAAAACAAAAACCAAAAAAGUUGUUACUUCAAAUAAAUCAAAUGUAAUCACAGAGACCGGCUCUGUAGACCGAUGGAGAUGCAGUCCCAGGUUCCUAUAAACAUGUGAAACGUCGGAAACCAACUCGGUUUUGGCCUAAUCAAAGCAUCACCGGUCAAAGCCCUAGCUACAGGUGACGUGGCAUCAGGCCUAAACAAUCACAAAAAUAUCAGAUGCAAAUUUUAGAUUAUAUGAGACAAAGCUACGCACAAUCCCUCAGAGACCCGUUUAAAAUCACACACAGCCGAAUUAAACCAAUUGCAAAUGGGUACUCCAUCCAAGACCAAACCACAAAGGUUAUGGUCGAAGGAUGGACACUUGCAAAGGAGAAAAGCAGCUGCUGUUUAAAGUGUCAUACGGCACUUCCUAUGGUCUUAGAUUCCUCACCGGGACAAGGUUGCAACUCAUAAUACAUGAACAGAAUUUAGAUCUAUAUAAACUACAAUAUUAUUGGAUUAAGCCUCAGGAAGCCAGACAAAUGUCGUCAUUUGAUAAUCCGACGGUAAUUCCAACAAUAUGCUAAUCAUCACAGGCUCAAAAUCAUAGAUGUAGGAAGCAGAAACAAUUAUAAAACACGCAAGAUUGGAUGAAAGAAUAUAAAUUUGAUAUUUAAAGCAUCAUCAGAAAGAAAAGCCUUCUCAUUCACAGUGUGAUUGCACUGUGUCAGAAGGUGUCCUAAGAUUGUUAUAAGGUUUCAUCCUCAGAUACUUUAAAAAUUCCACAUAAACUAUAAACGAUAAAGGAUAUGUUCUGUGACUGGAUUCAGAUGCAGAGAUGUGUAACGUCAUAUGGACGACAAAAGCCGUCCUCUGAUCAAGUGUUGGAUUAUGCAUCAAUUACCUACUCACAAUCCAAACAGAUCUAAGAAAACAAUAAAAAAAACAUAGAAAUAAUAAGAACAAAUUGGAGGAGGAUUUCAUGUUACUCAGUGGUGGCUUUAAUAAUUGGUUCGAUUCUGCCAGCGAGCGUCCUCAAUGCCUUCAGAAGAGGGAGAAUAAUAUCCUCAUCGCAACAGCCUCCUCCAAAGCAAAGAACACAGAUCUAAACCGAAAUGGAAUAAAAAAUAUACAAAUUUUAACACAAAAUAUCAAACCAUAAAUAAUAAAAAGAGCAAUACAAGAUGGCUCGGUUCAGCGGGAAAAUCGGCAUACAAAUCAAUCCCAGAGGAGUGGAUCCAGAGAGGAAGACCUGUGAUUUGGUCUGUUGAGCUUGAAUAUUACCAAGUCGUCACUGCCAUCGCAUCGCUUGCAUAAUAGAACAGCGUGACAAAAAAAAGAUCAAAACGAAACAAAAGAAAUUGCAGGAUGUAGAAAAAAUUCAAGUCCUCACUGCCAUUGCAUCGCAUGCAUAAUAGAACAAAACAGCCGUGAAAAAAACAUCAAAAUGAAACAACAAAUCACAGGAUGUAGCAAAAAGUGCAGAAGAAUAAGCAGAUCUGGCUGUGCUAGGAAAAGCGUCAACGGGGGAGGAAAGAGGAGGAGAUUUGCUGCAAGACGAGGAGAUUUGCUGCAGCAGUAGCACUAACCCUCAAGCCUGGCAGGGCGAAAGCUCUUAGGCGGCAACUGCGAAUGUCAUGAGAAACAAGCCUUGAUUUUAGCAUCACAAGGCAUCCAUCACAGCCGACAUACUUUUCAGUAAACAUGAAUGACUAAACUGGCAAUCAAAUUAAUUGAAGAUAAUGAAUUAAAAAUGGGCAAAACAAAUUUUUUAAAGAGGAUAGAGUUGGUGUUGCUGUGCAUCAGACAUCCAAGGAAGGUAUUAGCAGCACUAGCUCUCAAGCCUGGCAGGGCGAAAGCUCUUAGGCGGCAACUGCGAAUUUCAUGAGAAACAAGCCUUGAUUAUAGCAUCAUUUGCAAUGCAGAACACUAACUUACACAGAGCAAAAGAACACAAAUAUGAAUAUAUAAAGAACAUGGCUCAGACAUCCAAGGAAGGAAUUAACAGCAUUAGCUCUCAAGCCUGGCAGGGCGAGAGCUCUUAGGCGGCAACUGCGAAUGUUAUGAGAAACAAGCCUUAAAUUUAUCAUCAUUGCCAUACUAUUAAGGAUUUGUAAGAAAAUAAAAACAAAAACCAAAAAAGUUGUUACUUCAAAUAAAUCAAAUUUAAUCACAGAAACCGGCUCUGUAGACCGAUGGAGAUGCAGUCCCAGGUUCAUAUAAACAUGUGAAACGUCGGAAACCAACUCUGUUUUGGCCUAAUCAAAGCAUCACCGGUCAAAGCCGUAUCUACAGGUGACGUGGCAUCAGGCCUAAACAAUCACAAAAAUAGCAGAUGCAAAUUUUAGAUUAUAUGAGACAAAGCUACGCACAAUCCCUCAGAGACCCGUUUAAAAUCACACACACAGUCGAAUUAAACCAAUUGCAAAUGGGUACUCCAUCCCAGACCAAACCACAAAGGUUAUGGUCGAAGGAUGGACACUUGCAAAGGAGAAAAGCAGCUGCUGUUUAAAGUGUCAUACGGCACUUCCUAUGGUCUUAGAUUCCUCACCGGGACAAGGUUGCAACUCAUAAUACAUGAACAGAAUUUAGAUCUAUAUAAACUACAAUAUUAUUGGAUUAAGCCUCAGGAAGCCAGACAAAUGUCGUCAUUUGAUAAUCCGACGGUAAUUCCAACAAUAUGCUAAUCAUCACAGGCUCAAAAUCAUAGAUGUAGGAAGCAGAAACAAUUAUAAAACACGCAAGAUUGGAUGAAAGAAUAUAAAUUGGAUAUUUAAAGCAUCAUCAGAAAGAAAAGCCUUCUCAUUCACAGUGUGAUUGCACUGUGUCAGAAGGUGUCCUAAGAUUGUUAUAAGGUUUCAUCCUCUGAUACUGUAAAAAUUCCACAAACUAUAAACGAUAAAGGAUAUGUUCUGUGACUGGAUUCAGAUGCAGAGAUGUGUAACGUCAUAUGGACGACAAAAGCCAUCCUCUGAUCAAGUGUUGGAUUAUGCAUCAAUUACCUCCUCACAAUCCAAACAGAUCUAAGAAAACAAUAAAAAAACAUAGAAAUAAUAAGAACAAAUUGGAGGAGGAUUUCAUGUUACUCAGUGGUGGCUUUAAUAAUUGGUUCGAUUCUGCCAGCGAGCGUCCUCAAUGCCUUCAGAAGAGGGAGCAUAAUAUCCUCAUCGCAACA